CAGCUUUCUUUCCAGGCUGGAGCGCAUUAGGCUACUUGGACCUAGUCCACGUUUGACGGUAAUCCUCCCUGACAAGCGGCCUCCUAACCACCAAGCUGCUGAACCACAUCCCCCUUCUCCUCACCGGCUUUCCCAGGCAUCCUGUGGUUUUUCCUGGAUCCCAGCACUUCCCAAGCUGACCUACUUCUGCCCAGGCUGCAGAAAAGCACCGACCGUCACCCUCAGUGGUACAUGGAUAUGGCCAGUCAGAUUCCAGCCUCCACAGCCAGUCCAGCAGCCUGCCCAGGGAAGAUAUUGCUUGUGGCCAGCUCCAUCCCCCUGGGAAAGCAUCAGUGGCACCCUGCUACCACCAGACUGCAAACAGCACAGACUGAAAUCCAACAUUAGGACAGCUUCAAAACCCAAAAACCACAGGAGACUCCUGCCUGCAUCUUUGCUUUUAAGCUCUGCAAUAAAGCUCUACAGCAUUUUCCCCCAUGACCUAAAAGACAUGAAUCUUCCCAUAAAUGAAUCCCCUGCAGAAAUGAGGUGAGAAAAUAGCCCCUGGAGCUGCUGGGUGAGAUGAGGUGAGAAAAUAGCCAUGGAGCACACCCCAGAGCAGGAAUGGCAGACAGAGGCUGGCCUCCUGCCCCAGCACUUCUCCUCGUGCCUGCUGUGGCUAUGACAUGACACUCGCUAGACACCAGCCUCAUGGGCACCAAAGAUGCUUCAACCCAGCACACAGGGGACAUGAAUGGCUUCAAGAGAAAAGGGACCAAACAGCAGCCAAGUUGGCAAGUAAGAUUUAUUGAAUGCAGGUCGCGCCCAAAGGGAAGACGACCGGGUUUCAGCAGGAAGCACAUCAGGCAUUAAAAGGAGA